CCUACGGGAGGCAGCAGUGGGGAAUAUUGCACAAUGGGGGAAACCCUGAUGCAGCGACGCCGCGUGAGUGAAGAAGUAAUUCGGUAUGUAAAGCUCUAUCAGUAGGGAAGAAAAUGACGGUACCUGAGCAUUAAGCCCUGGCUAAUUACGUGCCAGCAGCCGCGGUAAUACGUAGGGGGCAAGCGUUAUCCGGAUUUACUGGGUGUAAAGGGAGUGUAGACGGGAGUGCAAGUCUGGAGUGAAAGUCGGGGGUGCAACCCCCGGACUGCACUGGAAACUGUAAGUUUGGAGUGCAGGUGAGGUAAGUGGAAUUCCUGGUGUAGCGGUGAAAUGCGUAGAUAUUAGGAGGAACCCCGGUGGCGAAGGCAGCUUACUGAACUGUGACUGACGUUGAGGCUCGAAAGCGUGGGGAGCAAACAGGAUUAGAUACCCGAGUAGUC
rnacentral:rRNA from 1 species